GGGAUCGUGCCUCAAUGGUAAAACAUCUGCUCUGCAUGCAGAAGGUCCCCAGGUUCAGUUCCUGGCAUCUCCA
rnacentral:tRNA from 1 species